rfam:Gossypium hirsutum cultivar TM-1 chromosome 19, whole genome shotgun sequence
UGUUAAAAAUUUCAUCUCUUUACAUGGUUAAAAACUGAUUUUCCAGACAAAAUAAUUAGACGUACCUCUUGAUGUGUAAUGUGUGUAUCAUGUUGAUAUGCAUAGAUCGAUUUUUAAUAGUAAAAAAGAAUAGAAUUUUUAACA